UAGCCUACGGGUGGCUGCAGUCGAGAAUCUUCGGCAAUGGGCGCAAGCCUGACCGAGCGACGCCGCGUGGAGGAUGAAGGCCUUCGGGUUGUAAACUCCUGUCGAGGGGGAGGAAGGGGCAACCUUGACCUAUCCCUGGAGGAAGCACGGGCUAAGUUCGUGCCAGCAGCCGCGGUAAGACGAACCGUGCGAACGUUAUUCGGAAUCAUUGGGCUUAAAGCGCGUGUAGGCGGAUGGGAACGUCGGUGUUGAAAGCCCCCGGCUCAACCGGGGAAUUGGCUCCGAAACGACCCGUCUGGAGGGGCAUAGGGGGAUCUGGAACUUCCGGUGGAGCGGUGAAAUGCGUUGAGAUCGGAAGGAACGCCCGUGGCGAAAGCGAGAUCCUGGAUGUCUUCUGACGCUGAGACGCGAAAGCUAGGGUAGCGAACGGGAUUAGAUACCCCUGUAGUC
rnacentral:rRNA from 1 species